UACGUAGGGGGCUAGCGUUGUCCGGAAUCAUUGGGCGUAAAGAGCGUGUAGGCGGUCCGGUAAGUCCGCUGUGAAAGUCGGGGGCUCAACCCUCGAAUGCCGGUGGAUACUGUCGGGCUAGAGUACGGAAGAGGCGAGUGGAAUUCCUGGUGUAGCGGUGAAAUGCGCAGAUAUCAGGAGGAACACCUAUUGCGAAGGCAGCUCGCUGGGACGUAAUUGACGCUGAGACGCGAAAGCGUGGGUAGCAAACAGG
rnacentral:rRNA from 1 species